rnacentral:lncRNA from 10 species
CCUUAGGUGCAAAGAGGUUGCAAUUGGUGAGUUCUGUUUGCAAAAGACCAACCACCUGGAAAUGCAAGCGUGGAAGCCAUGAGAGUGCCAAAAAAUGUGGAAGAUGGAGGCAGAGAGAACCAGACUUGAAUCCUGGCCCCACCUCUCACCCACACUCCCUGAACCUCAAGUUUUGCAUCUAUAAAACUGUGGUGAUAAUAAAACCUACCUAUAGGGCUGUUGAUCCAAACUGUAUUUUGUAGCUCCUCCAGGGAAGUUUUCCAGUCAACCUAAUGCUUCUCUAUGGCUGUUCAGGGAAUGAAAAAAUGAGGAAGGAAUUAAUGAAUUAUUUCAUGAGAAUGCCAU